rnacentral:rRNA from 1 species
CCUACGGGUGGCAUCAGUGAGGAAUAUUGGUCAAUGGACGAGAGUCUGAACCAGCCAAGUAGCAUGAAGGAUGACUGCCCUAUGGGUUGUAAACUUCUUUUAUAUGGGAAUAAAAUGUUCCACGUGUGGGAUUUUGUAUGUACCAUAUGAAUAAGGAUCGGCUAACUCCGUGCCAGCAGCCGCGGUAAUACGGAGGAUCCGAGCGUUAUCCGGAUUUAUUGGGUUUAAAGGGAGCGUAGGUGGAUUGUUAAGUCAGUUGUGAAAGUUUGCGGCUCAACCGUAAAAUUGCAGUUGAAACUGGCAGUCUUGAGUACAGUAGAGGUGGGCGGAAUUCGUGGUGUAGCGAUGAAAUGCUUAGAUAUCACGAAGAACUCCGAUUGCGAAGGCAGUUCACUGGACUGCAACUGACACUGAGGCUCGAAAGUGUGGGUAUCAAACAGGAUUAGAUACCCCAGUAGUC